rnacentral:lncRNA from 1 species
AGGCGACGACCUCACCGGCGCUCAUCUCCCCUUCCCUCCUCCUCUGCCUCGCCGCCGCCCAAGCCACAAGGACGGCGGCGGCGGGGCUUCGUCCUCGCGCUCGGGCAUGGGAGGGGGACCUGCUUGAGGGCGGCGGAACUGGCUAGAUCCGUGCCGCCGACUGGAUCUGGCGGUGGACCGGCGGCGGGGCUGAGCGGUGCGGCGGCGGUGUCUGGUGGUGGUGGCAGCGGCGUCGAGGUGUUGGCGGCCGCAGCGGAGGAAACCGCCAGAUCCGCGCCUGGAUCUGGCGGGACGGCGGCCGGCGGCGGCGUCUGGUGGCGGGGAUGGCGACGACGACGAGGGCGGCAAGGGGAUGGCGUCGAUGAGGUGAACCUGGCCGCGUCGGCGGCGGAUCCAGCGCCCGGAGGUCUGGCUGUCACGACGGUGGUGGCGACGAGUUCGCAGCGACGGCGGCGCAGGCUACCACGGCGGGCCGUCUGCGCCGUGUGUCGUCGGAGCUCGACGACGGCGACAAGGUGCGGGAGGAUAACGAGAUGGCAGCAGGGAUGGAAGGGUAGCAACGGCUGCUGUGGUGGCGGCGGAGGUGGCAAGGGGAUGGCGUCGGUGAGGCAAACUUGGCCGCGCCGGCGGCGGAACCAACGCCGGAGGAGUUUGGUUGUCGUGGCGAUGGUGGUGACGAGCUCGCGGCAACGGCGGCACGGGCUACCACGGUGGGCGGUCUGCGCCGUGUGCCAUCGGAGCUUGAUGACGGCGAGAAAGGGCGAGAGGAUGGUGAGAUGGCGGCGGGGAUGGAAGGGCAGCGGUGGCUGUGGUGGUGGCGACCGUCACCACGGUAUGGGGGGGGGCGGCGGUGCAGUGAUCCCACAUGGAGGCAGAGGUUGA